UUCUAAUGUUUGCAGGUCUGAGUGGCAGCCUCCCUCUCUCUUCUUAGAUGAGAGAUAAUCCUGUCUUUUGGAGGGAGAGACAUGUCCUGCCAUCAGACAGGCCUAGUCUGUGUGUUCCUGUGGCUUCUACUGCUGCACCUGGCUCCUGCAAAAGGUCAGUCAGGAAUACCUCCAAGAGCUGUACUUGUGCUUCAUCCCCAAAGGUCCACAGUCUUCAAUGGAGAAUCAAUGAGUCUCACUUGCAUGGAUUCCCUUUCCUCAGUUCAGGGACCUAUAACCUGGUAUAAUGGCGAGGAUGUGUGGGAAACUACAUCUGAAAAGAUCACAAUAAGAAAAUCUGGGGAUUACCAAUGCAAGACCAGAAGGUCCUCCUUCAGUGAACCUGUGCAUGUAGAAUUUUCAUCUGAUGAGGUGAUACUCCAGGUCUUACCCCACCCUAUCUUUGAAGGAGAUGACGUAUUUCUGAAAUGCCAAAGGAAAUCAGGGGAAUUAAAUAAAUCAACUUACUUUAAAGAUGGAAAAGAACUUAAGAAGAGUGGCAAUUCAGACAUAAUCAAACUACGCUCAGUCUCAAGAGACAGCAGUCAAUACUCCUGUAAAGCCUUUUGGAAAACUGCUAUGAUACUGGCAAGGCAAGAAACCUCAAAGCCUCUAAAAAUCCAGGUUCAAGAGCUAUUUCUACCUCCUGUGCUGACAUCCAGCCCAUCUCAGCCUAUUGAGGGGGCCCCAGCGACCUUGAAGUGUGAGACUCGACUCCCUCCACAGAGGUCUCAUGUCCAGCUCCGAUUCUGCUUCUUCAAAGAUGGUCAGCCUUUGGGGUCAGGUUGCAAUAGCUCUUGGGAGAUCCAGAUCCCUACCAUGUGGAUGGAAGACUCGGGGUCCUACUGGUGCCAGGCAGAAGCAGCGAAGUACAACAUCAUCAAAAGAAGUCCUAGCUUCCAGAUGCAUGUACAGAGAAUCCCUGUGUCUGAUGUGAAUUUAGAGACCUGGCCCCCAGGAGGGCAGCUUAUUGAAGGAGAAAAUCUGGUUCUCAUCUGCUCUGUUGCCAAGGGCACAGGGCCUAUCACAUUCUCCUGGCACAAAGAUGGAACAAGUGUGGGCAAGAAGACCCAGCAGUCCCUGUCAGCAGAGCUGCUGAUACUCACUGUAAAGAUACAUGAUGCUGGGAAAUACUACUGUGCGGCCGACAAUGGUGGCCCUGUCCUCAGCAAUCGGAUCAGAGUCACUGUGAGAAGUCCCGUGUCCCACCCUGUCCUCAUUCUCAGGACUUCCAGGGACCAAGCUAUAGUGGGGGACCUAGUGGAGCUUCACUGUGAAGCCCCGACAGGCUCUCCCCCAAUUUGGUACCAGUUUUAUCAUGAAGAUGUCACUUUGGGGAACAGCUCAGCCCCCAAUGGUGGAGGAACAUCCUUCAAUUUCUCCCUGACAAAAGAACAUUCUGGAAACUACUCCUGUGAGGCUGACAAUGGCCUAGGGCCUAAGCGUAGUCACAGAGUGAGUCUCAAGGUCAUAGUUCCAGUGUCUGACAUUGUGCUCAACCUCAGGGCCCCUCAAACCCAGGCUAUGGUAGGGGAUGAGGUAGAAAUUUACUGUGAGGCCUUGAAAGGCUCUCCUCCGAUCCUGUACCAGUUUUAUCAUGAAGACAUCACCCUUGGGAACAGUUCGGCUCCCGCAGGAGGAGGUGCAUCCUUCAAGCUCUUCGUGACCACAGAAAGUGCUGGAAAUUAUUCCUGUGAGGCUGACAAUGGCCUUGAGCCUCAGCGCAGUGAGGUGAUCACAUUCAACAUCCCAGGCCCACGUGGGAGCAAAGCCGGCCUCAUCCCUGCAGGAGUCAUUGGGGGGUUGCUGGGUGUCCUGGGCCUAGCCGCGGCUGCCGUCCUGCUACAUCACUUCAGGGCCCGAGGGAAGUCGGGACGUUCUGCCCCUGAGACACCUAGGUAAGGUCUUUGCUUCUUUUGCUGCCAACAUGUUUAUGAUUUGUUUUGAAGGGGCUUCCUGUCAACAUUUUUUUAACAUUCUUACAAAACCCAAAUGGUAAGUAAGGAGGGGCCUAUCAUAUUUGUAAAGCAUACUCAAUAGGCCUACUGAUGCACAAAACAUAUAUACCUUGUCCCUGUUUGUUUACUAAUAUGAUCUGAUAAAAAUUGACCAUGGGUGUCCUAAUGACAUCAGCUCUCACAGGCUAGAAGUGAUUGUUUCUUGUUCCUAUUCCUUCACUCAAACUCUCAUUCAUGAAACGAUUAUUGAAUGCCAGCACUGUUGAGUUAAAAAAAAAAUAACUAUAGGGAUGUGAAGUUGCUGGUUUUUUAAUGCCACUUUUCUUGAGGUGCCUUCAUGGUAUCUUCUGCAAACAACAUAGACCAUUGCACCCUAAGCUAGAAGAUUGAAAGAGCUAUUUUUUUUCACAAAAGAUAAAGGUUAAGUUCCAUGAGAAUGCAGAUGUCCUUAUAUAUCAUUGUUUAAACAUUCACAUCUUUGAAAAUAUUUUUUAAGUUAGCCAGUUAUGAGUCUUUACAUGAUAAAAGCCCUGAGACUGCGUGGCUUUUGCCCUCUGACCUUACCUGCUAUACUGCCCAGGUUCCAUCCUAUGUAUGUCAUUCUCCUAGUGAUAGUUUCUUGAAAGUGUCCUAGAGAUGUGACCAUAAUACUUUUACAUGAAUUGUGCUGGGCUGUGUGCCUUCCUGGGUAUUCUGUCUCAGGGAACUGCUUCACAUCCAUUGUCUCUUCCCCCUCUGCCACAGUCCCAGCGAUCGGCAGGAACCUUCCUUUUUCAGUCUCUCCAGCUCAGACCCCCAGGAACACCUCCACGCUGGGCACCCAGCCCUAAUGGAGCAGCAGCCAAUAUACACUAAUGUAAAUCCUGGAGGUAGCGAUGUGGAGUAUUCCCAG